rnacentral:rRNA from 1 species
GACGAACGCUGGCGGCGUGCUUAACACAUGCAAGUCGAACGGAAAGGCCCUGCUUUUGUGGGGUGCUCGAGUGGCGAACGGGUGAGUAACACGUGAGUAACCUGCCCUUGACUUUGGGAUAACUUCAGGAAACUGGGGCUAAUACCGGAUAGGAGCUCCUGCUGCAUGGUGGGGGUUGGAAAGUUUCGGCGGUUGGGGAUGGACUCGCGGCUUAUCAGCUUGUUGGUGGGGUAGUGGCUUACCAAGGCUUUGACGGGUAGCCGGCCUGAGAGGGUGACCGGCCACAUGGGAACUGGGAUACGGCCAGACUCCUACGGGAGGCAGCAGUGGGGAAUAUUGCACAAUGGGCGGAAGCCUGAUGCAGCAACGCCGCGUGCGGGAUGACGGCCUUCGGGUUGUAAACCGCUUUCGCCUGUGACGAAGCGUGAGUGACGGUAAUGGGUAAAGAAGCACCGGCUAACUACGUG